rnacentral:rRNA from 1 species
UGGGGAAUCUUGCGCAAUGGGCGAAAGCCUGACGCAGCAACGCCGCGUGAGGGAUGACGGCCUUCGGGUUGUAAACCUCUUUCAGCAGGGACGAAGCGAAAGUGACUGUACCUGCAGAAGAAGGAGCGGCCAACUAUGUGCCAGCAGCCGCGGUGAUACAUAGGCUUCAAGCGUUGUCCGGAUUUAUUGGGCGUAAAGAGUUCGUAGGCGGUCGAGUAAGUCGGGUGUGAAAAUUCUGGGCUCAACCCA